AUUUUUCAUUGAGGCUAAAGGAGAUGGUACUGUCAUCACAGUUCUGGACAGAGAGAGCACUGAUGAGAGCACAGACAACAACGCAAAAGACAACACAGCAGACAGUUCUCAGAGUGAUAAAGUGUUAACUUUUGUACUGAGAUGUCUUCCCAUCAUCGCUCUUCUUGUAACCUUCUUCUACCUCAACUAUUCAGGAAACAAAGCUCAGCAACGCACAUCAGCUGAUCCACAAAAUACACCUGUUUCAACCCCCAGAAGAGAGGAAGAAGAAGA